rnacentral:rRNA from 1 species
ACGCUCGACACCUACGGGAGCCAGCAGUAGGGAAUCUUCCACAAUGGACGCAAGUCUGAUGGAGCAACGCCGCGUGAGUGAAGAAGGUCUUCGGAUCGUAAAACUCUGUUGUUAGAGAAGAACACGAGUGAGAGUAACUGUUCAUUCGAUGACGGUAUCUAACCAGCAAGUCACGGCUAACUACGUGCCAUCAGCCGCGGUAAUCUGAGCGGGCUGGCAAGGC